rnacentral:rRNA from 1 species
UAAAGUGGAUUAGCGGCGGACGGGUGAGUAACACGUGAGUAACCUGCCUUAGACAUUGGGAUAGCCUCGGGAAACCGGGAUUAAUACCAAAUAAAAUCAUAAUGACACAUGUCAUAACGAUCAAAACUCCGGUGGUCUAAGAUGGACUCGCGUCCCAUUAGCUAGUUGGUAGAGUAAAAGCCUACCAAGGCGACGAUGGGUAGCCGGCUUGAGAGGGUGAACGGCCACAUUGGAACUGAGAAACGGUCCAA